UGACCUCGGAUCGUGUAAGAAUACCCGCUGAUCUUACGUAUAUCAAUACGCGGAAGAA
rnacentral:rRNA from 1 species